rnacentral:lncRNA from 1 species
GCGAACAAACAGAGCUCUUUGGGAUUUCAACACCCAAACAUCCUGCAAUUGUUUUCAGUUCUAGUUUCAGACCUGUCCUAACCCUGUGGUGCCUGCAAGAGGUGCAUCAGGAGGGGAAUAUUGAGGGAAUGCUGCUCGGGACGUGUUUGAAGCAAUCAAAGGGUUGAAAGAUUGAUUCGGCAUGUAGAUUGGAUUUAAUUCGAAGCAGCUUUGUUCUAAUGAGGACUACUGGGAUACAAAGACGGCAGCCGCUUAUGGCCACCAGUUGGGAACUUCCACUCGCUGCAGCAACCUGUCAAGAAUUCCAAGGAACUGCCAGGGUAAAAUUGCCUGCAGGGUACGUUUGCUGGAGCCUGUUAAUUCCUCCUGAGGUCAGUGGGUACCGGGUGCUGGGCAGCACAGCCUCUCCUGACCGGGCACGGUGGGCUCCAGCUGCUUCCCAAGAGACAGGGACAGUGAUGAAGAACGUGGGAUUUCCCACAGGAAUUUGGAAGAUGCCCAUGUCUAAGACAAUGAUGAGGAUUGGGCCAAAAUCCAGCCUUGAUUCCUUCAUCCAAGUGACCCUGUGCUGACCCAUGGCUGCUGAUGGAUCGCAGCGACGCGGACCUUCCUCCCUCCAUCCCUCCUCACUGCCCUGCAUCAGAUCACCAGGAGCACCUGAAAGCACUGUGAGUAAGAGACAUAUUUUUUUUCUCACACAAGCAAUUCAUUGCAAAACUUCAGAUUUUGA